rnacentral:sRNA from 1 species
AUAAAUAUAAAUACUCCAAUACAUUGUACUGUUAUUUUGAUGAGACAAUAACGUUCCACCCAAAAAUAAUAAUUUAGAGUUGAUAACAACUAAAUUUACUAAAUUUUCGAAAUUGUACAAUUAUGAGCAAAAAUGUGCAACCGAGUACAACUUUACAAUUAUGAGCAAAUUUCUACUAUUAAUUAAUUAUUAUUUUUAAAUGAUGGUGUCAUACAAGAUAUUUCUCAGCUUUUUGUAGAUAUUUUUUUUUUUUUAUAUUUUUAAUAAAGCACUUAGUUUUAUGGGUGAUUUGCAGAAAUAACCAAUUUUGAAAAAGUUAUUAAAUUUAUAGCAUCAUAAGUUUGGAAAUUAAGUGAGUAACAUAAGUAGUGUUUGAAAAUACAAAAAAACCCUUACUACAAAAAAAACAAUGAGGCGUAUGUGAGGCUAUGAGAAGAGAAGAGAGGAGAGUGGAGAGAGAGGAGAGAAAGAGAGAGAGAGAGAGAGAGAGAGAGAGAGAGAGAGAGAGAGAGAGAGAGAGAGGAGAGAAAAAAAAUCAAACCUUAAGAUAACGUAUAAGAAACCCAAACAACAAAAGUUUCAGAUUUCUCAUUUUAAAUUAUAUUGAAUUCAAUGAACCCUUAAUCCAAAUUUAACUGUGGCAAAGAGAAACAAAGUUACAAAUGUCUUUAUUACAUAUAUUAUACAGAAUAUUGCUUUGUUUGUUAAUUAUUGAUUUUUUGUUGGUUAUACAAUCAAAUUUCCGUAGUUUUAUAAUUAUAAAAAACUUUUUCUUUUCUUUCAAAACACUCUUGAUUUUAAAAAAUAAAAGACUAACAUUCAUUGUUUUUAGUGAUUUUUUUUAAUUAAAAUACUUAUAUGCAUUUUAAUUUUUUUUCAAAAUUUUUGUCAAAAAAUCUUAAAUUCAUACAUAAACCUAGAUACAUAGUUGUACAUGAACGUACCAGUUGUACAUUUUUUUUUCUUUUCUUUUUUCUUUUAUAGCUUAGAAGUCAAGCGUAACAAAUGUAUUUCAUUGAAGAAACGUACCAGUUGUACAUAAACGACUAAAUUCAUACAUAAAUCUAGAUACAUAAUUGCACAUGAAUUUACUAGUUGUACAUAAACGACUAGAUUCAUACAUAACUUUAGAAACCAAAAUACCAAUCGAACAAUAGUAAUUAAACACGUAGACACAAAAACCUUAUAUACCAAAUCAUCAAAGCAUUUUCUUUUUCUGCUUCUCAUUCUUAUUUCCUUUUUCCUUCUCCUUCUCCUUCUCCUUCUCCUUCUCAUUCUCUUUCUCCUUCUCCUUCUUUUUUUCUUCUCUUUCUCAUUCUCAAUUCAAUAUUAAACAUUUAAAAGAAAUCUCAAAUUCCAUAUAAACAUGGAUGGUUUUGGGAAACUCUCACAAUCUCACUAUCUAAACCAUAAACCAAAGAGAUCAAAGCAAUAUUUAUAUAGAGUUUAUUUUCAACAAAGUUCAAAAACUUAUCCCAUAGAGGAUAAAUUGAAAGGAGGAUUCCCAAAAUUCAAAUCGAAAAAACGGCAAACUAAAAUCCGAAAAUCUAUUUACAAAUCAAAAUCUUCAAAACCCAACCCAAUCCAUCCGUAAAUCAAACUCAAGAGCAAAGAUGUGAAAUUGAAAAGGAAAAAGAAAAGGAAGACCAAGACUGUGAAUCUGAAGUGGAAUUAGCCAACGGUAGUUAUGAGGACAAUCAAAACUCAUGAAAGGGAUCUCUUAUUCUGUCUAAAAAAUCUCUAUAAAUGGUGGAGAGAACAAGGGGAAUUGAGAAUCUGAUUGUGAAUAUGGAUUUUAAAAUUUCAGGUUGGAAGAAUGGAUGAUCAGUUUGUGAAGCGAUGGGAUCCAUUCAAUGAGAAAGAUAGCGUGAAGCUACCUGGAAAAAGAAAGAAAAAAAUUAAGAAUUUAGGUUUUUUCUUUUAUUUUUGGAUUUGGGAAUAAAAGAUCCAAACUCAUAUGGAUUUAGAUCCAAAGUGUGGUUGGGUCGUAAAUAUAUCAAAUACCCUCAGAUUUAUUUGUCUUUUACCAAUUAUCUGUAUUAAAAUAAAUAAAUAAAAGUAUUAUUCUUAUAUGGGGGGAUAAGUAGAGAAUGUUUGAAGCUUGGGGGGCGAAGAAGAUGAAAAUCCAAUUAUUUACAACUUCUAUUAUUUACAGCUUCUUCUCUUCCUCAAUGGCAUAUGAAUUCUCAGAUUCUACUUAGUAAGGGUUGAAUUUGGAUCUUCAACAGUUGCAGAAGAAGAAGAACGAAGAACAAGAAGAAGAAGAAGAAGACGUAAGAAAAAUAUAAGCAAGGACUGACGAACAAAGGAGAAGAAAACUAACAAUGGAAGAAGAAGGAGAAUAAUAAGAAGAAGGUAAUUUCUCGUUCAGGUCGCCGCUUGUCGACACUAAACUGAAAAAGUGAGAAAUUCAUAAAAUUUUAGGGUUUAGUUAACAUACUAGAGGAUUAUUGUGAAGUAGCUGAAUCUUUUGUUGUUUAUGGUUUCAAUUUCAGGGAAAUUUGGUUGAUGAUGAAGAUGAGGAAGGAUAUGGGCCACUUAUAGGUAAAAAAGCUCAAACAGAUUAAACAGCCCAAUCCUCUAAAUGAACAAAAACGGGAGCACGAAGCCCGACAAAAAAGGGAACAAGACCAAGCCGAUCAAGGACAAGGCCGACAAUAUCAAGCCCAACCAGUUCAGCCUCAAAGCAAAAUACCGGUAAUUUUGUCAACAAUCUCUUAAAAAUACCCUAAUAUUUCUUAAACUCAAGAACCGAAAUGACUUGGAAUCGAAUCGUUGACCUGAAUACCCAAACACCCAAGACUCUUAUUUUUGAUUGACACGACAUCUUUUCAUACCUUAACUCUUCUUUUUAUAUUUGUGUAGCUCUUUGGUGAUGGCGGCCUCAUUCUUACAGAUUGGACAACUUCACAUCUAAUCGAUGAUCCUAUCGAUCAAUACAAAGGUACUUCUUACACUCUUAAUUUGAGUUUUAAUUAUCAUAAUUACCCGAUACUAUAUUUUUGUUGUUGUUUCUAAUUGUAUUUAUUGUUUCUUUUUGCAGAUACUUGUAGUUCCGUUGUCUUCACAAGACUUACACAGGCAUCUUACAACAAAGAUAGACAUAUUGCCCCACGCCAAAACAUGUCAUAUCGAGAUUUGGUAGAGUACCUUAAAGGAAAAUCCAAAGGACGAAAGCUUUCCUUCCAAAAUUUAAAUGAACCGAUCAAGUACAUCCAAAAUGUUGGGCUUCUUAAAGAUGUGAGUGAGUUAUAUUAUAAAUUCUUUUAAUUCCUAAUCAUAUAUAUGAAAGAAGACUAACUCUCUCCCACAACUUGACACAUCAGCACAUGAGAGCUUGCAACCUAGACUUCAUAAAAUAAGUAAUACAUAAUUAGUAAUUAAUUCAACAUAACAACUAAAAUAGGAGAAUAUAAUUAAUGAGAACUUGAACCAUCACUCUUUCUACAUUUUUUUAAUUCAAUAUAUCCUCUUUAAUUUUAAGAUCCACUUAAGUGGCUAUAGUGAUGAUAAAAUCCAAACAUGUUACACAUAUUCCUGGCCUAAAAAUUAGACGAUUAUUAUGAAAGAAACUAAAUGAAUAUGCAGAUUAAAUAUAUCUAAGCUUUUUGAGAUUUAUGCUAAGAAAACAAGUAAUUUGAAAGAUAUUUGAGGAACUAUCCUUAUAACUAAUACGUAAGAUAUAACUGAUUUUGUUUCGAAAGAGAAAUAGUUGAUAUAGUAUAUUGAUAGAAAACUUGCCACUCUAAUUACUUUUGUAGGUCAUCUAUCAUGUACCAGCUGUUAUAACUGAAAAAUGUGAUGCACAUGUUAUGUUUGUCGUAGCAAAAGACAUGAUAAAGGCUCCGAAUGGAGAAAGCGGAUCGGACGGAGCAGAUCAAGCGGAUCAAGCAGAUCAAGCUGAACAAAAGCGGAUCAAGUAGAUAUUGCGGUACAAAUGCGGUUCAAGCGGUUCGAACGCUUCAAAAUAUAUUUUGAAUAGUGACAUCAAUAAAAUUUUGCGUCUAUAUUAAAAAAAAACUUUAUCUCACAUUAUUUAUUGAUUUGGACAUUAUUUAAUUUUCUUAAUUUGAUUUUCUUUAGUUUUGAACUUUAUAUUUUAAAUAAAAUAACUUAUAUACUAUAAUAAAAAUUAAAUAAAAUCUGUAAUAGCUACCUUAUUAUUCAACAUAAAGUUCUUUACAUUUAUAUGUACAAAUAUUUAUAUGAUAUGUUAUAAUUAAAAUUAAUUAUUUUUAAAAUAUAAUU